AGCGAACGCUGGCGGCAGGCUUAACACAUGCAAGUCGAGCGGGCGUAGCAAUACGUCAGCGGCAGACGGGUGAGUAACGCGUGGGAACGUACCUUUUGGUUCGGAACAACCCAGGGAAACUUGGGCUAAUACCGGAUAAGCCCUUACGGGGAAAGAUUUAUCGCCGAAAGAUCGGCCCGCGUCUGAUUAGCUAGUUGGUGAGGUAACGGCUCACCAAGGCGACGAUCAGUAGCUGGUCUGAGAGGAUGAUCAGCCACAUUGGGACUGAGACACGGCCCAAACUCCUACGGGAGGCAGCAGUGGGGAAUAUUGGACAAUGGGCGCAAGCCUGAUCCAGCCAUGCCGCGUGAGUGAUGAAGGCCCUAGGUUGUAAAGCUCUUUUGUGCGGGAAGAUAAUGACGGUACCGCAAGAAUAAGCCCCGGCUAACUUCGCGCCAGCAGCCGCUGUAAU
rnacentral:rRNA from 1 species